AAGAAAGGAGAAAGUGAACCUAGCACCCAAGUGCAGGUUCCAAUGGGAGCAGAGGAAGCUCCAAGAAAGAGCACAGCUUUUGUGUAUGAUCUGUUGCACGCAGGUGUAUGAAAUUUUGUUAUCUAUAAAACUGUUUAUGGAGCAAUACACUUGCAUACCAGGGUCUGAGAUGGGGAUGAAGCUUCAGAGAUGAAAGAUAUGGUGUUAGGAGACUAGAUCUGGUCGGAAGCCAGGCUGCAAGCUCCUGAGGACAGCUGGCAUCCCUGAGCUCGCUCGCUACUGGAUCCCCAGCAGUUAAAAUGAUGAAUGAAUGAGUAACUGCAAUUCAGUGGAGUCGGUUGACUCAAGGAUGGACUUAAGUCAGAGAGCUGAGCAAGAGGCUCGGGAAGGGAAGAGCCAGGCAGGAGGAACAGCGUGUGCAAAGACAUGAUGAUCAUCUAUAUGGAGAAUGCCUUUGUUCAUUCUACUUCUUAACACAUUUCAUAAACAAGCCCUGCUGUACACGAGCGCUGCGCUGGGUCUAGACAGGCCCCAUCCAGAGGAAACACAAUUCUUUGAAAUCUGGAGUUUUACUUGUACAGCACAUCUCCAUGUGUCCUUGGCACAUUUCAAGUGUUCAGUGUCUCCGAGACAAGCCGCUGCCAUACUGAAUGGUGUACGGGGUACCAAACGUGUGGCCAAGGUCACUCAGCGAUCUGGUCCAUAUAUAUAAAGAAGCCAAUGGAGUUUCCCAUGAUUCAACCCUGAAAUCAUUAGACAGGAUUACCCAAAUAUGAAGGCUGCUGAAAGUUGGACUUCUCCAAUUUCCCACUGCACAGAGCUUGCUUGGUUACAUCCCACUGUCCAGGAAGUGCCUGCGCGAGAGUGUCUGCCGAGAAAGGGCAGACCAUCAGAGAGGUGUGCAGGGAAGCACACUUUCAUCAGCCGAUCGGCUUUUGAGAUGGUUCGGGAGCCCAGAGCCCGAUUGUAUUACACAUUGCCCUGAAAUGCGCCUUGUUCAGUUUUCUCCACCUCCCCCUACUCCUUUCUUUUCUUUGAGUGUUUUCAAAAUGAAAGAGUUUUUUCUUCCAAAUUGCACUGGGAGGCAAAUUCUUGAACGGUGUAAUAGAAAAUGUUAGACAAUAUUCCUUACCGGAGCUAUUGACAUUUUGGAUAGUUGUGACACUUUGAUUUUUCUCAAAACAUAUGGAUCAAGCCUGGCUGCAUUAUUGGACAGGAAGUCCUGAUGAAAGGCCUUCCUUUAUCUUUCUUUGUAUUUCCCCCCUCUGUUUGCUCAUGGCUUUCUCUCUGAAUAUAAUCGUGGUUUUCUUAAGCUGUCCGGGGAGUCGUUAUUGCCUUACUAAAUAUUUCAUGGUGCAUAGCACACAGUAUCUGCCAACUGCCUUUUAUUUGUUGUCAAAAAUAAAGGGUUCAUCCUUCGGAGGGGGGAAAAGAUAGCA
ensembl:lncRNA